rnacentral:rRNA from 1 species
GACGGGGGGGGCAAGCGUUGUCCGGAUUUAUUGGGCGUAAAGAGCGUGUAGGCGGUUUGGUAGGUCCGCUGUGAAAACUCGAGGCUCAACCUCGAGACGCCGGUGGAAACCAUCAGACUAGAGUCCGGAAGAGGAGAGUGGAAUUCCUGGUGUAGCGGUGAAAUGCGCAGAUAUCAGGAAGAACACCCGUGGCUAAGGCGGCUCUCUAGUACGGUACUGACGCUGAGACGCGAAAGCGUGGGGAGCGAACAGG